AUCUGCAGAACUCCGUUAAGAGACUACACCUCCCAUGAAACCCUGCAGUAUAACCUUGAAGUAUCAUCACGGAGAAAAACGAUCUCAUCUCAGGGCCAGUGGCGCAAUGGAUAACGCGUCUGACUACGGAUCAGAAGAUUCCAGGAGCCAAUGACCAACAGGCCGGAGCACUGGAGACUUUCUGGAGGAAAGGGGUACUGAAGCAUCCAAUAUGGAAAUAGUCAAGAUAUAGAAAAUGCAAGCUCUUGAAGGAUUCAAGAUAUAGAAAGGAUCUGAGAUAUGGAAAGAACUCAAGAUACAGAAGGAUCUGAAAUUCUGGAGACUAAGAUAUGAGAAUAUUUAAGACACAGGUAGGAAGGACACCUUCAAGGAAUUUGCUGGCUACCCUUAUUUUUAUAAUAUGCUUGCUAACAUCAGCAUGGGAGCAUCUUGAGUUUUUAGUCUACUACACAAGCAGACAUUGAACCAACAUUAACAGGAAUUAGUGUAGUCUGUUUUCCAAUAAGAGAGUGUUCAAGGAUCUUCAUGUAUUCCAGUUUCCUCAGAAACAUAGGCU
rnacentral:antisense_RNA from 1 species